rnacentral:tRNA from 1 species
GCCCCGAAAGCUCAGUCGGCUAGCAAGGCAUCAGACUUUUAAUCUGAGGUCCAGGGUUUCAAGUCCCUGUUUGGGCG